UACGGAGGGUGCGAGCGUUAAUCGGAAUCACUGGGCGUAAAGCGCGCGUAGGCGGCUUCUCAAGUCAGGGGUGAAAUCCCACGGCCCAACCGUGGAACUGCCUUUGAAACUGUAGAGCUUGAGUGUCGGAGAGGGUGGCGGAAUUCCAGGUGUAGGAGUGAAAUCCGUAGAUAUCUGGAGGAACACCGGUGGCGAAGGCGGCCACCUGGACGACAACUGACGCUGAGGUGCGAAAGCGUGGGUAGCAAACAGG
rnacentral:rRNA from 1 species